UACAGAGGGUGCAAGCGUUGUUCGGAAUUACUGGGCGUAAAGGGCGCGUAGGCGGCCUUCUAAGUCGAACGUGAAAUCCCGGGCUCAACCCGGGAACUGCGUCCGAUACUGGAAGGCUUGAAUCCGGGAGAGGGAUGCGGAAUUCCAGGUGUAGCGGUGAAAUGCGUAGAUAUCUGGAGGAACACCGGUGGCGAAGGCGGCAUCCUGGACCGGCAUUGACGCUGAGGCGCGAAAGCCAGGGGAGCAAACGGG
rnacentral:rRNA from 1 species